UACAGAGGUCCCGAGCGUUGUUCGGAAUCACUGGGCGUAAAGGGUGCGUAGGUGGCCUAGAAAGUUUGAUGUGAAAGCUCAGGGCUUAACCCUGAAAUGGCAUUGAAUACUGCUGUGCUGGAGGUUUGGAGGGGGGACUGGAAUUCUUGGUGUAGCAGUGAAAUGCGUAGAUAUCAAGAGGAACACCAGUGGCGAAGGCGAGUCCCUGGACAACACCUGACACUGAGGCACGAAAGCUAGGGGAGCAAACAGG
rnacentral:rRNA from 1 species